rnacentral:pre_miRNA from 1 species
GUUAUCCCCAACAUUAGCAACUUUGAGUACUUUGAAAGUGAAAUUUCAAGUUCAGAGUGCCAAAGUUGCUAAUGUAGGGGUGAC